CCCUUCUAUAUUUAUUUUGGUAAUAACAAUGAUGUUCAAACCAACUUGUACGUAUUUUGACUAUUCUCCACUAAUAAAGGUGUUGGUAACUCUGCCACCAAGGCUACCUCAUAGAGUUAUUCAGAGAAUGCAGGAAAGAAUGAGUUUAUUUCCUCUCUACUUUUAACUCUUUCUACUUGCCACUUUUUUCUUUUUCAGAGUCUUUAGAGUGUCUAUUUACAAGCUGCUAUUUCUUUUACCUGAUAUUAUAUGUAUCAGGAGAUACUUACAGAUCCCAGUUAUGCGGGCCAGUUUGUCUUGAUGACUAACCCUCAUAUCGGGAAUACUGGGGUCAAUUUUGGUGCGUUUAGUGUUUGCUUCAUGACAGAUUGUUAUUUUUGUUUGAAUAAUCUUUGUGACUGUUUUGGAAUUUCUCUGGGCAGACGAUGAAGAAUCAAUGCAGUGCUUUCUUGCAGGAUUAGUCAUUAGAAGUUCAAGUAUCAGCAACUCCAAUUGGAGAUGCAAAGAGACGCUUGGCGACUAUUUGGCUGAAAGGAACAUCAUGGGUAUAUAUGAUGUUGACACUCGAGCAAUUACGCAAAGAUUGAGAGAAGACGGAAGCCUCAUUGGAGUCUUGAGCACAGAAAAUUCAAAAA